UACGUAGGGUGCAAGCGUUGUCCGGAAUUAUUGGGCGUAAAGGGCUCGUAGGCGGUCCAUCGCGUCGGGAGUGAAAGCCCGGGGCUUAACCCCGGGUCUGCAUUCGAUACGGGCUGGCUAGAGUGUGGUAGGGGAGAUCGGAAUUCCUGGUGUAGCGGUGAAAUGCGCAGAUAUCAGGAGGAACACCGGUGGCGAAGGCGGAUCUCUGGGCCAUUACUGACGCUGAGGAGCGAAAGCGUGGGGAGCGAACAGG
rnacentral:rRNA from 1 species